rnacentral:rRNA from 1 species
CAGGCGCGAAACCUUUACACUGCACGACAGUGCGAUAGGGGGACUCCGARUGCGGAGGCAUAGUGCCUUCGCUUUUGUACACCGUAAGGUGGUGUACGAAUAAGAGCUGGGCAAGACCGGUGCCAGCCGCCGCGGUAAUACCGGCAGCUCGAGUGAUGACCGACUUUAUUGGGCCUAAAGCGUCCGUAGCCGGCCGGGCAAGUUCGUCGGGAAAUCUACCAGCUCAACCGGUAGGCGUCCRGCGAAAACUGCUCGGCUUGGGACAGGGARACUCARGAAGUACGUCCGGGGUAGGAGUGAAAUCCCGUAAUCCUGGRCGGACUACCGAUGGCGAAAGCAUCUUGAGAGAACUGCUCCGACGGUCAGGGACGAAAGCUGGGGUCUCGAACCGGAUUAGAUACCCGGGUAGUCCCAGCUGUAAACGAUGCUCGUUAGGUGCGACGCARACUACGCGUCUGUGCUGUGCCGUASGGAAGCCKARAAACGASCCGCCUGGGAAGUACGUCCGCAAGGAUGAAACUUAAAGGAAUUGGCGGGGGAGCACUACAACCGGAGGAGCCUGCGGUUUAAUUGGAGUCAACGCCGG